AGGUCCGUAGGUUAACGGUAGACCAGCGGUCUCCAAAACCGCUAGUGGGGGUUCGACUCCCUCCGGACCUG
rnacentral:tRNA from 1 species